UCUCUGAACACGCCAUGAGGUUCCGGGUGAUCAUCGGUGAAGACAUUAAAAAGAUCACAUUUGAAAACGGCCUUCCAUUUUGCGUGAAUGAUUUCAUGCAGGUGGUGAAACAAGCCUUUCUCUCGGGGACGAUAUCAGGCUCCAUUACAAAGAUUCAGACUUUGACGACUAUUUCACGCUCACCUCCACAAAAGACCUGAAAGACAAGGACACGCUGAAAGUGGUUCAACUUUCAAAAAACGCCAAAACAUUCACUACUCCUGCCCAUAACUUCACUCCGGUUUUGUCUGAAAUCGGCAGUGUAGACGAGAUACCCUCCAUAGAGUUGCCUGAUCUACCGUCUAUGGAUGAAGAAGACACGUUGCAGCUAAAUUCAAAAGAACAGCUGGAUUUGAACCUCAAUUUUGAAGAUUGUGCAUCUGUGCCUUCUGAAGACGCCGCCCCUUUCAACAUCCCGACCUGCAAUGAUGCACAGGGCGACUCACCUGUGGGUCCAUCUACUUCAUUUGUCGCUUCACGCAAGUUAUGGACCGGUGUUUUCGAAGUUCCAACAUUUUCUUACGCUACGGAGUUAGUUUGAGAAAAGCGAAUGAACGAUUCCUAAGAGACAAUGUGCCAAUGAUUCCUGACAAACUGAGAAAGAUCAAAUCUGACAUUCUGGAACGGAUCACGGAAGCGAUGUACGUUUACACCGCGUACCCCAAUGACGCACAGAGGAUGGUUGCAUGUCAAGCGCUUAUAACAAAGUUUCCAUGUUUGAAGGAGUUGGGCUGUGUAAGCGGCUGCGAUGGUUGGAACAAUAGUUUAAUGUACAAAUUUGGGAAUUACAGAUCCAAGCUUAGGAACAGUGGGAGUCAAGAGGUGCUGAUAAACUCGCUGAACACAAAACAGAUGGAUUCAGACACCCGCGCCAAGUCAAGAAGCCGAAGAAAGCAGAAGUGAACUUCUUGCCACCGUUGCCAAUGGGAGAAACAAUGUCCAGUUCGGAGGAGCUCAGGGUGAGGCUGGUCGGUCUGCACCAGAAAGGAGCCAGUGCACCGCUCAUAAACGAACUCAUGACCAGAACCUACAGCUACAGACGACAGGAGGUGGUAUUUGGGAACCACAAGGUGGAGGAGCUGAAGGAGAGGUGGCCUGCGCUGUUCACUCCUGCUCAGAUCAAUGAAGAGUUUAAACGUUGCAACACGGUCCCUCUUCACGCCAGCUUCAUGUCCAACCUCGACAAGUACAUCCCCAAACUGCUCACCCUCUUCAGCUCAGUAGGGGGCGCUCUGGGACAACGCCUCAAGUCUCUGUGGCUGGAGCUGGUUGAGAGUCCGGAUUCGUCUGCUGUGAAGAAGAGAGAUGUGGUUCUGCGGUGUCUGAUCGAAUACAUGGGAGAACGCAACAGCGAUCUGAUCUCAGAGCACAGCGUACGUGUGUUUGUUUUGCAGCUUUGGCGACAUGUAUUUACCGACUACUGAGUGUGGGGAGUAAAUACUGUUUGUAAAUCACUUUAUAACCUCAUCACUCACCAGUCUCUGCGUGUAUUUCAGGGCGUCCCGGAGGAGGAGGUGCUGGAGCAGCUGAGUUCUGAGAGUCUGAAGAUCUUCGUUUGCGCUCGGCCUGACGCGGUGGGGUGGUGAUCGACGGACCCCGGUGCUGCACAGCGUGGACUCGCUCUCCUCCGCCUGCUGCCUCCUCUACGGCCUUUUGUACGCCCUGAACAUUGACUACCCUCCUGCACUCGCCAAGACAUUCGAGCUGUACCAGAGGCUCCUGGUGGGACUGGACUCAGUGCAGCCGAGAACCAGCUCCAAACUGAUCCACCUCAAAAACAAACUCCUAAACGUCAACUAUCCGUGAUUUGCCAAAGUUUUAUUCAGAUUUUUAAACGGAAAGAAAGAAACUGAAAAUGAACAUAAAACGUUUAAAUCUUAAUUCUUUCAAAUUUUACGUAAAAUCGAAAACAAACAUGACAACUGCCUUUCAUUAUAUUGUCAGAUCAAAUUUCGUGUGUACUCGCUCUACUGAGUAAAUUCCUCUUUACUGGCCAAGGUUUAUAUUUAAAUCAGAAGGAAAUAGCAGCAUGUAGUGUACUCAUGCAUCACAAUGUUUUAUUAACCCUUUUUACAUUAAAUAUAGUUGAUAUUUGUGUAUAAUUUCAAUAGUUCAGUCAUGGUUAGUUGAAAAAGCGCAAAUGGUUAGUUUGUUGAUGUAAUAAACUGUUUCAGAAGAAUUGAAAUGAUUGAAAUGUUAAAGCAUUAGUUUUUAUGCUGUUGUAGCAUAUAAAUAUGUUGUUCUCAUU
rnacentral:lncRNA from 1 species